rnacentral:rRNA from 1 species
UUUUCAGUGUCGCAGGGAAACCGAUAAACACACCGCCUGGGGAGUACGACCGCAAGGUUAAAACUCAAAUGAAUUGACGGGGACCCGCACAAGUAGUGGAGCAUGUGGUUUAAUUCGAAGAUACGCGCAGAACCUUACCAACACUUGACAUGUUCGUCGCGACUCUAAGAGAUUAGAGUUUUCGGUUCGGCCGGACGAAACACAGGUGCUGCAUGGCUGUCGUCAGCUCGUGUCGUGAGAUGUUGGGUUAAGUCCCGCAACGAGCGCAACCCUCACUUUUAGUUGCCAUCAUUAAGUUGGGCACUCUGAAAGAACUGCCAGUGAUAAGCUGGAGGAAGGUGGGGAUGACGUCAAGUCCUCAUGGCCCUUACGUGUUGGGCUACACACGUGCUACAAUGGUAUCUACAACAGGAAGCAAAACUGCGAAGUUAAGCAAAUCCCUAAAAGAUACCUCAGUUCGGAUUGCACUCUGCAACUCGAGUGCAUGAAGCUGGAAUUACUAGUAAUCGUGGAUCAGCGUGCCACGGUGAAUGCGUUCCCGGGUCUUGUACACACCGCCCGUCACACCAUGGGAGUUGGUUCUACCUUAAGGCAAGGUUUCAAACCCUUGACCACGGUAUAGUCAGCGACUGGGGUGAAGUCGUAACAAGGUAGCCGUAGGGGAACCUGCGGCUGGAUUACCUCCUU